UUCAUAUUCCCUCCACCUGGAAAUACUUGUCAUCAAAACGGUUAGAAAGGGAUGGAUCCAGAUGUAUUUUUGUUUUAGAUACAUCACUUUUUAUUCAUUUUGAUGACAAAUAUUUUCGGACGGAGGGAGUAUAUG
rfam:Triticum aestivum genome assembly, contig: Triticum_aestivum_CS42_TGACv1_scaffold_112790_2AS